GUGGGCAACCUGCCCUGCAGACUGGGAUAACUCCGGGAAACCGGAGCUAAUACCGGGUAAUACAUCGCACCGCAUGGUGCAAUGUUGAAAGUUGGCUUUCUGAGCUAACACUGCAGGAUGGGCCCGCGGCGCAUUAGCUAGUUGGUAAGGUAAUGGCUUACCAAGGCGACGAUGCGUAGCCGACCUGAGAGGGUGAUCGGCCACACUGGGACUGAGACACGGCCCAGACUCCUACGGGAGGCAGCAGUAGGGAAUCUUCCGCAAUGGACGAAAGUCUGACGGAGCAACGCCGCGUGAGUGACGAAGGCCUUCGGGUCGUAAAGCUCUGUUGUUAGGGAAGAACAAGUACCGUUCGAAUAGGGCGGUACCUUGACGGUACCUAACCAGAAAGCCACGGCUAACUACGUGCCAGCAGCCGCGGUAAUACGUAGGUGGCAAGCGUUGUCCGGAAUUAUUGGGCGUAAAGCGCGCGCAGGCGGUCUUUUAAGUCUGAUGUGAAAGCCCACGGCUCAACCGUGGAGGGUCAUUGGAAACUGGAGGACUUGAGUGCAGAAGAGGAGAGU
rnacentral:rRNA from 1 species